rnacentral:lncRNA from 1 species
UAAAUGCCCUUGAAAGCACAGCUCUGAUUCCAUGGAAAGAGUGAAACAGGCAGGCUGAGUUUUGUCUGGUGCAGCAGUGAGUUCCUGUUCCAGCCUGAGGAGAUCGGUUCCCAAAACGUCCCUGAUGACCUGUGAAGCUUCUCUGUCAGUGGAAACAACAAGAAGGGUAAAAUCAAGAACACAGCUAUGAAGAAUUGACUCCUUCUAGCACAAUGCUGGCUAUGAAUUUGUUAAAGCGAAGAUGAUUUUGUUCCACUCUUGAUCAAGUCCUGCUGGAGCAUACCUUGACCAAUGGGUGGACUGGUGAUUUUGAACACAACAUCUG